UCCUCCUUCUAAAUAUAAAAGCGCAAGCACACAAAUUGUUAUUCAUGCAUAUCUCGCUCCGCUGGAGCACGUUUUAAAACUUUUUGCUGCGCUACAAAUCAUGGAAUAUAAGUUCCUGUUAACUUUUGCUGUGGUGUUAGUAGGUACUUUAAUAGAAUGCGGAGCAGAAGACACGGUAACUCAGUCUCCGGAGAGUGUCAACAUUGCCGAAGGAGGAGAGGCAACACUGAACUGUACUUACAGCACCAGUAGCACUUCACCCAGCCUGUUCUGGUACAUACAGUACCGCAAUGACUUUCCAAGGAUAAUCCUACAAAGAGAUGUUUCAGGUUAUAAGGACAACGCCGAAGGGUUCAAAAACAGAUUUGACGCCGAGCUCAAUCCGAAAUCAAACGCUGUACCUUUAACGAUAGGGGAGACGGCACUGACGGACUCCGCCGUGUAUUACUGUGCGCUGAGGCCCCCAGCGACAAAGAGAUACACACGACGCUAACAAAAACACACAGCUACAGUAACAGUGUACAGAAAGGGGCAGCGCUGUCGAAAAGAUAUUUUAACACGUUAAAUUAUGGAUACAAGUACUAUAAAACAGUUCCAUUCUAAAAUAAAAAAGGAAUAAAUUAUGAAAAAA